rnacentral:rRNA from 1 species
AGGAUGUGGCGUUGCCCAGACAACUAGGAUGUUGGCUUAGAAGCAGCCAUCAUUUAAAGAGUGCGUAAUAGCUCACUAGUCGAGUGACACUGCGCCGAAAAUGUACCGGGGCUAAACAUAUUACCGAAGCUGUGGAUUGUCCUUUGGACAAUGGUAGGAGAGCGUUCUAAGGGCGUUGAAGCAUGAUCGUAAGGACAUGUGGAGCGCUUAGAAGUGAGAAUGCCGGUGUGAGUAGCGAAAGACGGGUGAGAAUCCCGUCCACCGAUUGACUAAGGUUUCCAGAGGAAGGCUCGUCCGCUCUGGGUUAGUCGGGUCCUAAGCUGAGGCCGACAGGCGUAGGCGAUGGAUAACAGGUUGAUAUUCCUGUACCACCUAUAAUCGUUUUAAUCGAUGGGGGGACGCAGUAGGAUAGGCGAAGCGUGCGAUUGGAUUGCACGUCUAAGCAGUAAGGCUGAGUAUUAGGCAAAUCCGGUACUCAUUAAGGCUGAGCUGUGAUGGGGAGAAGACAUUGUGUCUUCGAGUCGUUGAUUUCACACUGCCGAGAAAAGCCUCUAGAUAGAAAAUAGGUGCCCGUACCGCAAACCGACACAGGUAGUCAAGAUGAGAAUUCUAAGGUGAGCGAGCGAACUCUCGUUAAGGAACUCGGCAAAAUGACCCCGUAACUUCGGGAGAAGGGGUGCUCUUUAGGGUUAACGCCCAGAAGAGCC